CCUCUCCAGGUGUUAUCACAAACAAUUACUCAGAUGAAGUAGAACACAUCUGACGAUUAGAAUAAAACUUGUGGAAAGGAGCAUAGGCAGAACAGAAUACUUCCUUCCAGAAUGUGUUGAGGCAGACUCAGUCUAGUUCCCUUGCUGCAUGUUAUACUUUCAUAUACAUCAGCGAUGAGAAGGUGAGGAGGAAGACGCGAGAACAGGGGGUGCUUAACGUUAACUGAGAACUUUCUAUGUGUCCACGAACAUGCCAAGAUUUUUGCAGGACCUGUCUAAGUCAACUUUCCAGACAAGCUUAUAAGUUUCUAGCAAAAACAGACAUAGUUUGAACCAGAUGCCAAAAAAAGGUGGCCUUGGAAGAAUGUAACAGUCACCAAGUCCAUCAAAUACUCAACAAGAGAAGUAGCACUGUAUCAAGAAAGAAGAUUAAAUGUGUCCUAAAAACCUGGGGAUAGGAGACUGUGGAAGCGAAGCACAAGGACAUCACAGUCAGGAGCCAAUGGAAAAAGAAUAGAGCUAGCAUCUGUAAAGCUCAUGGGUCUGGAGAUCUGAAGUCUCUGAAGUUAUCAUUUUUAACC
rnacentral:lncRNA from 1 species